AGAGUUAAAAAGUACGUGAAAUUGUUGAAAGGGAAACGUUUGAAACCAGUCAUGCUGGCGGGAAAUCAGCCUACCUUCUGGGGGGUGCACUUUCCCGUUGGCAGGUCAGCGUCAGUUUCGAUCGCCGGAAAAAAGCCUAGGGAAUGUGGCUCCUCUCGGGGAGUGUUAUAGCCCUGCGCUCAUACAGCCUUCUGGAUUGAGGAACGCAGUGUCGUUUCCGACGCGCUUGCUGCGAGGCAGACACUUUCAGACAGCUUGCUGACUGAAAGUGAGCUAGCCAAGCACUCAAGUGCGAAGGUUUGACACUAAGGAUGUUGGUGAAAAGGUUUUAAACGACCCGUCUUGAAACACGG
rnacentral:rRNA from 1 species